rnacentral:tRNA from 1 species
AAGGAAUUAGUUAAAUAAUAAUAUAGGUUUGUCAAGCCUAAGUUACUAAAGUUGUAGUAUUUCUUG